rnacentral:rRNA from 1 species
CCUACGGGAGGCAGCAGUGAGGAAUAUUGGUCAAUGGACGAGAGUCUGAACCAGCCAAGUAGCGUGAAGGAUGACUGCCCUAUGGGUUGUAAACUUCUUUUAUAAAGGAAUAAAACGAGGCACGUGUGCCUUUUUGCAUGUACUUUAUGAAUAAGGAUCGGCUAACUCCGUGCCAGCAGCCGCGGUAAUACGGAGGAUCCGAGCGUUAUCCGGAUUUAUUGGGUUUAAAGGGAGCGUAGAUGGGUUGUUAAGUCAGUUGUGAAAGUUUGCGGCUCAACCGUAAAAUUGCAAUUGAUACUGGCAGUCUAGAGUACAGUUGAGGUAGGCGGAAUUCGUGGUGUAGCGGUGAAAUGCUUAGAUAUCACGAAGAACCCCGAUUGCGAAGGCAGCUUACUAAACUGUGACUGACAUUGAUGCUCGAAAGUGUGGGUAUCAAACAGGAUUAGAUACCCGGGUAGUC